rnacentral:rRNA from 1 species
UACGGAGGGGGCGAGCGUUGUCCGAAGUUACUGGGCGUAAAGGGCGCGUAGGCGGGGUGUCACGUCCGCUGUGAAAGCCUGGAGCUUAACUCCAGCGGGUCGGUGGAUACGGACACUCUUGAAGGCAUUAGGGGAAGAUGGAAUUACCCAUGGAGCGGUGAAAUGCGUAGAGAUGGGGAGGAACACCGGUGGCGAAGGCGGUCUUCUGGGAUGUCCUUGACGCUGAGGCGCGAAAGCUGGGGGAGCGAACGGG